rnacentral:tRNA from 1 species
GCUCGAGUGGUGGAAUCGGCAGACACAAGGGACUUAAAAUCCCUUGGGCGGAAACGCCCGUGCGGGUUCAAGUCCCGCCUCGAGCA